AGGAUUUAAGUUCUUUCUUAAAAAUAUUCUAGCAAAGCCAAGUAAAUCUAAUUUUUAAGAAUUAUUCAAUAAAGGUACAGCUUUAUUGAAAAAGGAAACAACCUAAACCUUAGGAUAAUGAAUAUUUUUAAAUAGGUAAAAGGCCAAGUUGGCCUAAAAGCAGCCAUCUUUAAAGAUAGCGUCAAAGCUUCACCUUAAACACACCUUAAAUCUCAUUAUUUUUUCAUAAUCCAACAAUUCUACUAAGCCAUUCUAUACUUUUAUAGAAAAGUUUAUGUUAGGACUAGUAACACAGAAUAAUUUCUCUUACAUGUAAGUUUAAAUCAACCCGAAUACCUCCUUGAUAAUUACUCAAAUUUGAACCUUAAGUAGUACCUAUCAAUUACAAAAACCCUACUUAACUUAUUGUUAAUCAAACAUAUGGAUAUGAAAGAAAGAUUAAAAAAUUAAGAAGGAACUCGGCAAACACAAGUCCCGCCUGUUUACCAAAAACAUCGCCUUUUGAAAAGUAUAAAAGGUAACGCCUGCCCACUGACAAUAUGUUUAACGGCCGCGGUAUUCUGACCGUGCGAAGGUAGCGUAAUCACUUGUCUUUUAAAUGAAGACUCGUAUGAAAGGCAUCACGAGAACUUAGCUGUCUCCUUAAUUCAAUCAGUGAAACUGAUAUCCCUGUAAAAAAGCAGGGAUGAUAACAUAAGACGAGAAGACCCUGUGGAGCUUAAAACAUAAACUACUUCUAUACUCUACUAACUUAUAGUACUAAAAUACAAACCUAGCCUAAGUUUUCUGUUGGGGCGGCUGUGGAGAAAAACUUAUCCUCCAUGAAGAAAAAACUUUGAUCUACCGCUCUUAGUAUUAGCAAGCCUAACUUAAAUUGAUCCAAUUUUUGAUCAACGGACCAAGUUACCCCAGGGAUAACAGCGCAAUCCAUUUCAAGAGUCCCUAUCGACAAAUGGGUUUACGACCUCGAUGUUGGAUUAGGACAUCCUAGUGGUGUAGCCGCUACUAAUGGUUCGUUUGU
rnacentral:rRNA from 1 species